rnacentral:rRNA from 1 species
AUACGGAGGAUCCGAGCGUUAUCCGGAUUUAUUGGGUUUAAAGGGUGCGUAGGUGGUUUGAUAAGUCAGCGGUGAAAGUUUGCAGCUUAACUGUAAAAAUGCCGUUGAAACUGUCGGACUUGAGUGUAAAUGAGGUAGGCGGAAUGCGUGGUGUAGCGGUGAAAUGCAUAGAUAUCACGCAGAACUCCGAUUGCGAAGGCAGCUUACUAAGCUACAACUGACACUGAAGCACGAAAGCGUGGGGAUCAAACAGGAUUAGAUACCCUGGUAGUCCACGCAGUAAACGAUGAUUACUAGCUGUUUGCGAUACACAGUAAGCGGCACAGCGAAAGCGUUAAGUAAUCCGCCUGGGGAGUACGCCGGCAACGGUGAAACUCAAAUGAAUUGACGGGG